GAUAAACGCUGGCGGCGUGCUUAACACAUGCAAGUCGAACGGAGUACUUCUCCCGAGACUGAGGAAGCUUGCUUCCAAAGAAUCAUUUGAAGUACUUAGUGGCGGACGGGUGAGUAACGCGUGGGUAACCUGCCUCACACAGGGGGAUAACAGUUGGAAACGACUGUUAAUACCGCAUAAGCGCACAGUACCGCAUGGUACAGUGUGAAAAGCUCCGACGGUGUGAGAUGGACCCGCGUCUGAUUAGCUAGUUGGUGAGGUAACGGCCCACCAAGGCGACGAUCAGUAGCCGGCCUGAGAGGGUGUACGGCCACAUUGGGACUGAGACACGGCCCAAACUCC
rnacentral:rRNA from 1 species